CAGCUGGCCACCAGGAGUUGCAGGUGUUGCAACACUGAAGGUUUUCAAGAAGAGACUGAGCGACCACUUGUCGGAAAUGGUAUAAGGUGCCCUGCUCAACUGGGGGGGGGGGGGUUGAGCUGAAUGACCUCCAAGGUCCCUUUGUCAUUUUGUAAGGGUCUCCUGCUUGAACAGGGGUCAGACUAGAAGACCUCCAAGGUCCCUUUCAGCUCUUCCAAUUCUGUAAGGGUUUAUUGCAUGAGCUGUGGGUUGGACUAGAUGACCUCAAGGUUAUUUCCAACUCUAUUAUUCUAUAAUUGUGUAAAGGUCUCCUGCUCGAGAAGGGGUUGGACUAGAAGACCUCCAAGGUCCCUUUCAGCUCUUCUAAUUCUGUAAGGGUUUCCUGCAUGAGCUGUGGGUUGGACUAGAUGACCUCAAGGUUCUUUCCAACUCUAUUAUUCUAUAAUUGUGUAAAGGUCUCCUGCUCGAGAAGGGGUUGGACUAGAAGACCUCCAAGGUCCCUUUCAGCUCUUCCAAUUCUGUAAGGGUUUCUUGCAUGAGCUGUGGGAUGGACUAGAUGAGCUCAAGGUUCUUUCCAACUCUAUUAUUCUCUAAUUCAGUAAAAAUCUCCUGCUCGAGCAGGGGUUGGACUGGAAGACCUCCGAGGUCCCUUCCAGUUCUAUUCUGACGGAAGUGUAUGCCUGACAAAAAAGGGCUGAAUUUGACCCCGAGGGAGGGAGGGGGCCCUUGUAAAACAGCCAAGUCCUCUCUAUGACCUCUCCAUCCUGCAGGGCGGCGAUGGUGAGGGCAGCAGGGCAACCGUCUGAAUAAUCCGGACCACCCAGUACCAACGGAAGCGAUGGAGACCUUACCGGUUAUGUAGCCUCUCAGCUCUGAGCCGAGGGCUGAUGAACACCGUGAGUCCUCCGCAGGGGAAGAGAGAAGAAGGUGCCCCCCCGCCAGGUGAGAGAAGCCAGUGCCAACGGACACCCCCCCUUUCUGGUGCAUUCUCAGACUCCAAUGACCCACCCCACAGCAGGCAAAAAGUCUCUGGAAUCUUUCCUGCUCCAGAGUUAAGAAGAAAGAAUCAAGUGCGGGGCCCCGCAACGUAAUUGUGGGAAUGUGCUCUUGCCUGAUGUGUUUGGGGGUCUCUGCCCAUCCAAGGUGGAUUUUUGGGGAACCCACAGCAUGAUGGGAGAUUUCAUCAAUGGCGGAAAUAUUUCAUUCAAUCAGUGUUUGAUCACUUUAAGAGGGGAGGACUCCAACUCCCAGAAUCCCCCAGCCAUCAUGCUUUAAGAGGGGAGGACUCCAACUCCCAGAAUCCCCCACCCAGAAAGCUUUAAAAGGAGAGGACUCCCACUCCCAGAAUCCCCUAGAUGGCCUGCUUUAAGAAGGAUGGAUUUCAAUGCCUGUAUGUUGGCUGAGGAAUUCUGGGAGUUGAAGUCCUCCCCUUUUAAAAUGACCAAGGUUGAGAAUCAGGACAUUAAAUCCUUCCUCGUCAUAUCCCCAGAGCAUCAAGAAUCAAGAUGGCUGCUCUGUUCAUAUGUCUCUUCAAUUUUUUUGGGGGGGGGGGGACAAAUUGUAUCUGGAACGCCAAAUAAAAGCGGUGAGUUCUGGAUUUUCUGUCGUUAAAUAAAACCGACGCAUU